AUUGAACGCUGGCGGCAGGCCUAACACAUGCAAGUCGAACGGUAGCACAGAGAGCUUGCUCUCGGGUGACGUGUGGCGGACGGGUGAGUAAUGUCUGGGAAACUGCCCGAUGGAGGGGGAUAACUACUGGAAACGGUAGCUAAUACCGCAUAACGUCGCAAGACCAAAGUGGGGGACCUUCGGGCCUCACACCAUCGGAUGUGCCCAGAUGGGAUUAGCUAGUAGGUGGGGUAAUGGCUCACCUAGGCGACGAUCCCUAGCUGGUCUGAGAGGAUGACCAGCCACACUGGAACUGAGACACGGUCCAGACUCCUACGGGAGGCAGCUGUGGGGAAUAUUGCACAAUGGGCGCAAGCCUGAUGCAGCCAUGCCGCGUGUAUGAAGAAGGCCUUCGGGUUGUAAAGUACUUUCAGCGGGGAGGAAGGCGGUGGAGUUAAUAACUUCACCGAUUGACGUUACCCGCAGAAGAAGCACCGGCUAACUCCGUGCCAGCCGCCGCGGUAA
rnacentral:rRNA from 1 species